GCCGGGGCGCCUCCCUGCUGCGGUCUGGGCGCCGGCAGCCGCGUCCCUUAUCCCGCGGAGGACAGUGUUCCUGGUGAAUCAUUACUGGUCCAUUAGGAGAAAAGACGGAGCUGGAGCUGUGGGAGGAGGGCCUUCCGGAAGGGGCGGCGACCCGCCGCGGGCCGGCUGGGGCGCGAGGCCCGGAGCGGGUUCGCAGCCGCCUGCAGAGUCUCGGCUCGAGCGCAGUCGCUGUGCCCAGGAGGUUUCCGGUCACAGCACGUUUCUGGGCAUUUCGGUUGUUCCCCGGCCGUUCUCACAGCCGCCGCCCUUCCCGCCCUGGGCUACUGGAUCGCGCGCCCGAGGGGACGGACGUCUGAGUUGCGUCCCCAGCGCUUGCAGGCCCGGGCGGAGGGAUGGGGCACUCAGUGACCCAUAGUGGGGCCUACUGUGUGCUCAGUGCGGUGCCGGAUUUUGGAGUCAAGAGUGCCUGGCUUCAAACCCUGGCCGUGCCGUUUACCAGCUGGGGGGACCAUGGGCAAGUUAAUUAACUUCUCCGUGCCUUUGUUUUUUGCUCUGUAAAGUGGGGAGUCUUACAGUGCCUAAUUCAAGGGUACUUAACAAUUAAAUAAGAUACGGUUCAGAAAGCACCUGACAAGACACUUCACCAAACAAGAUACUAUAUUGACAACAAAUAAGCACAUUAAAAGAUUUUCAACAGGGGCUGGCCCCAUGGCCGAGUGGUUAAGUUCGCGCACUCCGCCGCAGGCGGCCCAGUGUUUCGUUGGUUCGAAUC